UUACCCAGCGGCCGUCCAUGAACGUGAAACCUCAGAAGACAGAAGCGCGUGGAAGGUAUUAAUGAAUCCUCGAUGUUAGCGGGCGUGAAGAAUGAGAUCGGUAUCAGAGAAGUCGCUUGGAUUUCCUAUAUGGAAUCAAGCAAUCAACACAAUGAUAAUCAUGGCAUCCCAAUGUCUAUUGAAAUCGAGCAAUUGCUGGCAGAGGUCGAACCCCCAAACAUAAACUCCGACUGGCUUGAACUUGGUUUUGUGGUUGCCGGCUGGCUUGAACUUGGAAGUUGGAACACGUUGGCACUCCGACUCCUUUUUGCGGUUUAAUUUUUUGGCUGGUGAUUUAAUAUCGUCGCUCUCACUCAGGAUGUCCUGGACAUUGGGAUGCACAUGAGAGGCUCUAAAAAAUGGAAAAAACUGGUUAAUGCCAUUGUUCAAAUUGGUGCAUGGUGUAUAUGGUAAUGGCGAAACGAUUUAAUUUUUAACCAGAAGGUGAGGGACGUAGAAGACAUUAAGGAGGAGAUAAAACAUCUCGGAUACCUCUGGAUCAAACAUCGAGCAAAAGCCCAAAAUUUGGAGUGGGCGCAAUGGUGUAAUUUUGAAAUGUAUGGUCUGAACUUGUAGCCUUCUGUCUUGUUUGUUACGGUAUUAGUUAUGUGGUGAUGAGCCAACCAGUUGGUUGGUUUUAGAUGAAAUAAUAUAUUUGUUGACCUUUUCAAAAAAAAAAGAUUAAUAGUUUAAAAAAAAACUUCAACUACGUCAAUUAUAAACUUUUUAGUUUA